GCUAUCUUAUCUCAAUUGGUAGAGCACAUGGUUUGUGACCAUGUAGUUGUGGGUUCGAUUUCCACAGAUGGCA